rnacentral:rRNA from 1 species
ACGCUCGACACCUACGGGGCAGCAGUGGGGAAUAUUGCACAAUGGGGGAAACCCUGAUGCAGCGACGCCGCGUGAAGGAAGAAGUAUCUCGGUAUGUAAACUUCUAUCAGCAGGGAAGAAAGUGACGGUACCUGACUAAGAAGCCCCGGCUAACUACGUGCCAGCAGCCGCGGUAAUCUGAGCGGGCUGGCAAGGC